rnacentral:rRNA from 1 species
CCGGAGAGGGAGCCUGAGAAACGGCUACCACAUCCAAGGAAGGCAGCAGGCGCGCAAAUUACCCACUCCCAGCUCGGGGAGGUAGUGACGAAAAAUAACGAUACGGAACUCUUACGAGGCUCCGUAAUCGGAAUGAGUACACUUUAAAUCCCUUAACGAGGAUCUAUUGGAGGGCAAGUCUGGUGCCAGCAGCCGCGGUAAUUCCAGCUCCAAUAGCGUAUAUUAAUUUUGUUGCGGUUAAAAAGCUCGUAGUUGGAUCUCGGUUUCGGGCGAGUGGUGUACCUUGCGGUAUUUACUGUUUGCCCGGACGAUUUUGUUGGUUCGUUUAUGGUUCUCUUAACCGAGUGCCAUAAGUGGCCAGCACGUUUACUUUGAAAAAAUUGGAGUGCUCAAAGCAGGCGCUACAGCCUGAACAUUAGUGCAUGGAAUAAUGGAAUAGGAUCUCGGUUCUAUUUCGUUGGCUUUCGGAGUCGAGGUAAUGAUUAAUAGGGACAGACGGGGGCAUUCGUACUGCGACGUUAGAGGUGAAAUUCUUGGAUCGUCGCAAGACGAACUACUGCGAAAGCAUUUGCCAAGAAUGUUUUCAUUAAUCAAGAACGAAAGUUAGAAGUUCGAAGGCGAUCAGAUACCGCCCUAGUUCUAACCAUAAACGAUGUCGACCGGCGAUCCGUUAUCGUUAACUGAAUGACUUAACGGGCAGCCUCCGGGAAACCAGAGUGUUUGGAUUCCGGGGGAAGUAUGGUUGCAAAGCUGAAACUUAAAGGAAUUGACGGAAGGGCACCACCAGGAGUGGAGCCUGCGGCUUAAUUUGACCCAACACGGGAAAUCUCACCAGGCCCGGACACCGGAAGGAUUGACAGAUUGAGAGCUCUUUCUUGAUUCGGUGGGUGGUGGUGCAUGGCCGUUCUUAGUUGGUGGAGCGAUUUGUCUGGUUAAUUCCGAUAACGAACGAGACUCUGGCCUACUAACUAGACGUUAGAUCCCUUUGUGGGUCUAUCGCAGCUUCUUAGAGGGACGGGCGGCGUUUAGCCGCACGAGAUUGAGCGAUAACAGGUCUGUGAUGCCCUUAGAUGUUCUGGGCUGCACGCGCGCUACACUGAAGGAAUCAGCGUGUGUUCCCUACCCGAAAGGGUUGGGAAACCCGUUGAACCUCCUUCGUGAUGGGGAUUGGGGAUUGCAAUUAUUCCCCAUGAACGAGGAAUUCCCAGUAGGCGCGAGUCAUAAGCUUGCGUCGAUUACGUCCCUGCCCUUUGUACACACCGCCCGUCGCUACUACCGAUCGAGUGAUUUAGUGAGGCCUUCGGACUGGUCUUCAGUAUGGCUUUCGGGUCGUGUUGGAGUACCGGAAAGAUGACCAAACUUGAUCACUUAGAGGAAGUAAAAGUCGUAACAAGGUU